rnacentral:misc_RNA from 1 species
GAUGAAGAACGUAGCGAAAUGCGAUAAGUAAUGUGAAUUGCAGAAUUCAGUGAAUCAUCGAAUCUUUGAACGCAUAUUGCGCUCUCUGGUAUUCCGGAGAGCAUGCUUGUUUGAGUAUCAGUAAACACCUCAACUCCCUUUUCUUUUUUGAAAUGGGAGCUGGACUUGAGUGAUCCCAACACUUUUCUCACUGGAAAGUGGCGGGUCACUUGAAAUGCAGGUGCAGCUGGACUUUUCUCUGAGCUAUAAGCAUAUCUAUUUAGUCUGCCUAAAAAACAGAUUAUUACCUAUGCUGCAGCUAACAUAAAGGAGAUGAGUUCUUGUGCUGACUGAUGCAGGAUUCACAGAGACAGCUUUGCGGCUGACUUUGUAAACUCGAUCUCAAAUCAAGUAAGACUACCCGCUGAACUUAAGCAUAUCAAUAGCGGAGGA